UCAGUAAAUACACGUGAUUAUAUUUAACUUUAUUACCCGAGCGUGAGUCAGUUGAACUGCUAAAAAUUUGAUAAAUUACCGAUAAAAUUAUAUAGCAAUUAAAAGAAUCAAAUAUUGAUUAUUUUAGUAAGAUCCAGAUUGAAAAAAAGAUUCAAAAUGAUUCAAAGAUUUCAAAACGUUUCAGUUUUAACACUAUAUAUAUAUACUUUCAUUAUUGAAUAAAUCGUUUUGUUUAAUCAAGAUCUAUUGAUAAAAAUUAAACAUGUUUGGUAAUUAACAUCUGUCGGUAGCUGCAUCCUCAUUGUAAUAAAUUUCUUACAUUUCAAAUCAUGACAAUAGCUUGUAAAAAAUUACAAGUUAUUUUUGGAACCGACUGAUCAAAUAGGAAAUUCACCAAAAAUAUUCUACGGACAAACAUUAGAUAUAGCGUUGUUGUGCCCCAAGAGUGGGAGGUAUUAUUUAAUAAUGAUGAAGAUUUCUUCAGCCUCAUUCAAACUCAAGUGAAUGAUUACCACCAGCAGCAUGGGGCCGUGCUGGGGGCAAUGGUUACAAUUGAUAAUGUGGUCACAGAACUAAUUAUCAACGAUGUUUACCGUUUCUGGUGGUUCCGGAGUUAAAACGAACAUGGUGAUUUCCCCAACAAUUUCGUCGAUGAUGAACGUUUCCCCGUCAGAGACGGAAUUUAUUUUCCUCAUGAGAGAAGGCGAAUUAUUGUCGGGGAAAUCUCAUAUGAGGAUUAUAUUCCGCGCCCGUAUGCGGAAUUUUUCCGAUUCAACAUUGUCGAUUUAAAAAGAGAGCUCCACAGCCAAUUAUCCACUCAUUUACGAGUUUCCGGAACCCUGAACGGUGCCAAAAUAUUGAUCAAUGGUUUAAAGACCACUUUACACAUUAAUCAUCAUCGCAAGUUCUGGUGGUAUAGGGUGCAAGCCCAACUUUUGCCCGCAGUACGAGUUCAAUGGAGAGAUGCUGCUGCUAGUGCAGAACCAAAUGUUGCUGGAAUUAAUAAUAUUUUGGUGAUGGGGCCUGAAAUACCGCAACAACAAGAACAUCAGCACCAACAACACCAACCAGAACAGCAGCAACAACAACAACAGCUCCAGCAUCAACAACACCACCAACAACAACAACAACAACAGCAUCAACGACACCAUCCACAUCAACAUCAGCAAGCGCACCAACCCCAACCUCAACAGCAACAGCGACAACACAAUCCUCAACAACUGUUUCAACAAGCAGAAAUUGUGAGGAGAGCAAGAGCGAGUUAUUAUAGAGAGCUGAGAAUAUUUCAACAAAUGCAGCAGCAACUGCAGGGUGCUCCUGCUGCUGUUGAAGAGAUGCAGCGAAGGGCAUCACCACCACCACGACCACCACCACCACCACCACCACCACCACCACCACCACCAGCAUCACCAGACAACGACUUUGAUGCAGGUCGGUUGGUGGUACCGAUGGAAAUUCCUCCACCUCAUCCUGAGGAUUGA